rnacentral:sRNA from 2 species
ACUGCACGUUUUUUUUUUUUUUGGAACCCUUCCCUUUGUUUUGUUUUUCCAGUGUUUUGUUUUUCUCUUCUGUUGUUUCCGUCAACCCCGGUUGUGCGGUUGUGCGCGUUUCUCAUUUGCUCCCAGUUUCCAACAUUGAGAUUUGCAACCUGGAUAAACAUGUGGAGGUGGCGAGCGCGGGGUGGGGAAUGUCGGGGAAAUGGUGACGGGUUCAUUUGAUGCCUUUACCACCUAAACCACAGAUCCUAGUAUCGCUGGAGCUGAAGUGUAGGUCCAGCGCGUAUGGUCGCCCCCUAUCGGCUGCGGCUUUACUCGGUGCUGCAGGGUGUGCGGGUGGCGGGGUGGAUGUGCAUGGUGACUACGGUUUGGAAAUGUGGCCGGGUAGUAAUUGAUUUUGGCUGGCGCCUCGCGACCUGGGGAAUGGACGAGGGAGGAUGAUACCGGAUGACGCUCAACCAUGACUCGAUGAGUGCGGUAAUAGGCUCCCUCCCCUUGAGCUUGGCUUUUGGCAGAGAGAGCUGAAGGGUUGAAAGAAAUCGGGAAUCAGCGUUCAACAUCGCGAUGGAAUGCUCCUCCUCUUAUUGGUUAUCUCCUUCUCGCUUCUCUAGUUUUAGCAUUCCAUCCAUAUCCAUACCUGACUUUUUUCUCUCUUGUUUCAUGGAGAUUACCCGAAAGAUAGCCUGGGGAUUUCUGAUGUGACCUAAACCCAUGAGAACGUGAGAGCAGAUUCCUAGUGCGUCCUUUAAUAAAAUCCAAAAAAAAAAAGGAACAAACGGAAACGCAAAACCAAUCAAGCAAUUUGUCUCUCAAAAGUAUCAGCCUUCUCUUGUUUCUCAAAGCCCUCCGGAGGAAGUCAUGGUAACACGAAAAGCGUGCAGCAAAAAAAGUUUUUGAGGGUUAGCUUUUAGUGCUGGUAACGGCCCAGCGGUCGCUAUCACCAUGCCAUUCUCAAUCUCGACCACUCAAUGAAACAGUUA